UCCCCGGUGUCUCAGUGGUAAAGAAUCUGCCUGCAAUGCAGGAACCCCGGGUUUGAUCCCUGGGCUGGGAA
rnacentral:tRNA from 1 species